rnacentral:ncRNA from 2 species
AUGUUAUCAAGAAAGGUGGAGGGAAUAGACCCGAAGAAGCCUUAGCAACCCUUAAGCAAUUUAAGAAGGUGCUAAAUUCUACUUAAUUUUCGAUUCAUUUAUCGAAACAUUGGAUAGAUAACUC